UGCCUGGUAGUGGGGGAUAACGUUCCGAAAGGAACGCUAAUACCGCAUACGUCCUACGGGAGAAAGCAGGGGACCUUCGGGCCUUGCGCUAUCAGAUGAGCCUAGGUCGGAUUAGCUAGUUGGUGAGGUAAUGGCUCACCAAGGCGACGAUCCGUAACUGGUCUGAGAGGAUGAUCAGUCACACUGGAACUGAGACACGGUCCAGACUCCUACGGGAGGCAGCAGUGGGGAAUAUUGGACAAUGGGCGAAAGCCUGAUCCAGCCAUGCCGCGUGUGUGAAGAAGGUCUUCGGAUUGUAAAGCACUUUAAGUUGGGAGGAAGGGCAGUAAGUUAAUACCUUGCUGUUUUGACGUUACCGACAGAAUAAGCACCGGCUAACUUCGUGCCAGCAGCCGCGGUAAUACGAAGGGUGCAAGCGUUAAUCGGAAUUACUGGGCGUAAAGCGCGCGUAGGUGGUUCGUUAAGUUGGAUGUGAAAGCCCCGGGCUCAACCUGGGAACUGCAUCCAAAACUGGCGAGCUAGAGUACGGUAGAGGGUGGUGGAAUUUCCUGUGUAGCGGUGAAAUGCGUAGAUAUAGGAAGGAACACCAGUGGCGAAGGCGACCACCUGGACUGAUACUG
rnacentral:rRNA from 1 species